UACGGAGGGGGCUAGCGUUGUUCGGAAUUACUGGGCGUACAGCGCGCGUAGGCGGAUCUGCAAGUCGGGGGUGAAAUCCCGAGGCUCAACCUCGGAACUGCCUUCGAUACUGCGGGUCUCGAGUCCGGGAGAGGUGAGUGGAAUUCCUAGUGUAGAGGUGAAAUUCGUAGAUAUUAGGAAGAACACCAGUGGCGAAGGCGGCUCACUGGCCCGGUACUGACGCUGAGGCGCGAAAGCGUGGGGAGCAAACAGG
rnacentral:rRNA from 1 species